rnacentral:SRP_RNA from 1 species
CGCCGGGCCCCGUACAAGAGGUGACCGCCCAAACCCGCCAGGACCGGAAGGUAGCAACGGUAAGUGGUUCAUCGCUGUGUACGGACCGCCUGGCGAUG